rnacentral:rRNA from 1 species
CCUACGGGAGGCAGCAGUGAGGAAUAUUGGUCAAUGGCCGAGAGGCUGAACCAGCCAAGUCGCGUGAGGGAAGACUGUCCUACGGGUUGUAAACCUCUUUUGCCAGGGAACAAAGGCGGGGACUAGUCCCCGGAUGAGGGUACCUGAAGAAAAAGCAUCGGCUAACUCCGUGCCAGCAGCCGCGGUAAUACGGAGGAUGCGAGCGUUAUCCGGAUUUAUUGGGUUUAAAGGGGGCGCAGGCGGCCUGUUAAGUCAGCGGUAAAAGCCCGGGGCUCAACCACGGCGAUCCGGUGGAACUGGCGGGCUUGAGUUGGAGAGACGUACGCGGAAUUCGCGGUGUAGCGGUGAAAUGCUUAGAUAUCGCGCAGAACCCCGAUUGCGAAGGCAGCGUACCG